rnacentral:rRNA from 1 species
CCUACCAAGGCGUCGACGGGUANCCGGCCUGAGAGGGUGGACGGCCACAUUGGGACUGAGACACGGCCCAGACUCCUACGGGAGGCAGCAGUGGGGAAUAUUGCACAAUGGGCGCAAGCCUGAUGCAGCGACGCCGCGUGGGGGAUGAAGGCCUUCGGGUUGUAAACUCCUUUCGCUAUCGACGAAGCCACUUGUGGUGACGGUAGGUAGAUAAGAAGCACCGGCUAACUACGUGCCAGCAGCCGCGGUAAUACAAA